CUCUGGGAUCAGGAGCUGUGCCGUAUUUCCACACUAGGAGAUGGCGGAUGUAUUAGGGUAGGCUUGCCCCUAGACUAUAUAACAGAAAUCA